GGAAGUAAAAGUCGUAACAAGGUUUCCGUAGGUGAACCUGCGGAAGGAUCAUUAACGUAUAUGCAUAAUAUCACUUUGUGGUAAAACACUAAGUAUCGUUUUGUAUAUAUGAAUAUAGUGUACCAGUUACAUAUAUAACAAAUGUGUUGAGAAACACAAAUUUGAACGAGCAUACUUGUUAGUGCGAGUAGUCAGUGAAACAUCGUCAUAUGUUUCAUAUGUCAUCACUCGUACUGCAUUAUGUCGGAGCUUUAACACUUGACGAAUAGUCGAUUGUGGUAACCUAGUGCUCACUAUAUUAGUGAGCAUAUAAGGUGGGUACAAUCAAUGUACAACUGCCUGAGGUUUUUGAAUGAACAUACGCCACAAAAAUGUGUUAACUUUGUAUUUUCGUUGAGUAUCUCGAUACGAUGCGUUCAUACGAUGUGCAUUUGGAUAUAAAAAUAUAGCACAAAUAAUAUCGAGCUCCAUUUUGCCGUAAGACGUAGAUUCUUUCUACCUAUGCGUAGUUAAUUUUCUAUGUUCUGUGUACGGUUGGUGUGUGUCGUUACGUGCAAUUUUGGAAGUGAUCGACUAUUUGAAUAUACUCAGUCUUCACUUCCAUUAUGCUGUCAUUCACAUAUCGUGUCUUGUAUGUUAUGACGUUUAACGUCGUAGCUCAAGAAAUUUUGUAACAUAGUAAAAAUAUACAUUGAAAAUAUAUAUGAUUACCCUGAACGGUGGAUCACUUGGCUCGUGGGUCGAUGAAGAACGCAGCUAAUUGCGCGUCAACUUGUGAACUGCAGGACACAUGAACAUCGACAUUUUGAACGCAUACUGCGGUCCACGGAUCCAAUUCCCGGACCACACCUGGCUGAGGGUCGUUUAUAACAUAAAGACUGCUUACAGUUCAUGUUUUUUGAAUGUAUUUGAACAUGAUUUGUUUAAGCGUAUUAUUCGAAUAUACUGAUCGAUUCGUUAUAUUUGAGAACAUUUGAAUAUAUUUAUUGUUACUCGAAAUUGAACGUCGAUUGAAAUGAAGAUUUUUUGUGUUACGAUAAAUCAUUUAUCUAGCUAAAGUUUAAAAAUCUUCUCAAUGGCAGCAAUGUUGAAUGUAAAUUCAGCGGAAAUGUGAAGACUAUGAUGUGGAAUGUAAGCGUAUAGUUUGCAGCCCGUCGUGUUGUCAAUCAUUAUAGCAAUUGAUUAUAUAAUAUGCAUACCAUAGUGAAGAUGAUACUUGUAUGAUAUGUAAUAUGAACAUAUUGCCGAUCAUCGAGUCCCUGAGCUCCUCUAUAUAUAUAGAAGUACAGAAGGACAGAUUUCGAUCGCGUGCAUUAUGGGAUAUUUGUAUUAUAUUAAAUGCAAGAAACGUCUUCGUAUGGAUAAUGGUUGUUUACACCGAUGACUAGGCAAAAAUUUUGUUGAAUACGUUCAUAGCAUACUCUUCAAGUAAGAAUAUGCAUUUAUAUUUAACAAUCAUGGUAUUCCUUAUUUGUUAUUUGCAUUGCUAACGAUUUGAUUAUAUAUUUUGAAAUUAUAACUGACGACCUCAGAGUAGGUGAGACUACCCGCUGAAUUUAAGCAUAUCAAUAAGCGGAGGA
rnacentral:rRNA from 1 species